rnacentral:rRNA from 1 species
UACGAAGGGGGCUAGCGUUGCUCGGAAUCACUGGGCGUAAAGCGCACGUAGGCGGGUCUUUAAGUCAGGGGUGAAAUCCCAAGGCUCAACCUUGGAACUGCCUUUGAUACUGGGGAUCUCGAGUCCGGAAGAGGUUGGUGGAACUGCGAGUGUAGAGGUGAAAUUCGUAGAUAUUCGCAAGAACACCAGUGGCGAAGGCGGCCAACUGGUCCGGUACUGACGCUGAGGUGCGAAAGCGUGGGGAGCAAACAGG